rnacentral:rRNA from 1 species
CGCAUCUGUGCAUGCAGCAUAUCAAUAAGCGGAGGAAAAGAAACUAACAAGGAUUCCCUUAGUAACGGCGAGUGAAGCGGGAAGAGCUCAAAUUUGAAAUCUUCAAGGUUUUACCUUGACGAAUUGUAGUUUAAAGAAGUGUUUUCUGUUGAAGUUUUGGUAAAAGUUCUUUGGAAUAGGACAUCAUAGAGGGUGAGAAUCACGUAUUUGACCAUUAUUUUCAGCUGUGUGAUACACUUUCAAAGAGUCGGAUUGUUUGGGAAUGCAGUCCAAAAUGGGUGGUAAAUUUCAUCUAAAGCUAAAUAUUGGCGAGAGACCGAUAGCGAACAAGUACCGUGAGGGAAAGAUGAAAAGAACUUUGAAAAGAGAGUUAAACAGUACGUGAAAUUGUCAAAAGGGAAGCGUUUGACACCAGUGUUGUUUUCUCGAAAAUCAAUUAAAAAGAGUUAGAUUUUGUUGUGUAUUGACCUUAACAGCUUGCAUUUCAAUUUUCUUGCUUUUUUUAAUGCACUUUUCGUUUAACAAGUCAACAUCAGUUUCUUUUGUUGUAAAAAGGUCAUUGGAAGGUGGCUUUCUUUUCGGAGAAAGUGUUUAUAGCCUUUGACUCCUGCAAUCGGAGAGACUGAGGUCUGCAGCGUAGAUCCUUCGGGGUUAGAUACAUUUGUGCUAAGUUAUAGCUUUUUAUAGACAACUUGUUGACUAUGAUUAGUCUUGUAGCUUACUCGCUUAUGCUAUUUUACCUACGCUUAGGAUGUUGAUGUGAUACUGCGAGCA